rnacentral:rRNA from 1 species
UGAGGAAUAUUGGUCAAUGGGCGCGAGCCUGAACCAGCCAAGUAGCGUGAAGGAUGAAGGUCCUAUGGAUUGUAAACUUCUUUUAUACGGGAAUAAAGUGGUCCACGUGUGGACUUUUGCAUGUACCGUAUGAAUAAGCAUCGGCUAACUCCGUGCCAGCAGCCGCGGUAAUACGGAGGAUGCGAGCGUUAUCCGGAUUUAUUGGGUUUAAAGGGAGCGCAGACGGGGGAUUAAGUCAGUUGUGAAAGUUUGCGGCUCAACCGUAAAAUUGCAGUUGAUACUGGUUCCCUUGAGUGCAGUUGAGGCAGGCGGAAUUCGUGGUGUAGCGGUGAAAUGCAUAGAUAUCACGAAGAACUCCGAUUGCGAAGGCAGCUUACUGGACUGUAACUGACGCUGAUGCUCGAAAGUGUGGGUAUCAAACAGGAUUAGAUACCCUGGUAGUCCACACAGUAAACGAUGAAUACUCGCUGUUGGCGAUACACAGUCAGCGGCCAAGCGAAAGCAUUAAGUAUUCCACCUGGGGAGUACGCCGGCAACGGUGAAACUCAAAGGAAUUGACGGGGGCCCGCACAAGCGGAGGAACAUGUAGUUUAAUUCGAUGAUACGCGAGGAACCUUACCCGGGCUUAAAUUGCAGCGGAAUGUAGUGGAAACAUUACAGCCUUCGGGCCGCUGUGAAGGUGCUGCAUGGUUGUCGUCAGCUCGUGCCGUGAGGUGUCGGCUUAAGUGCCAUAACGAGCGCAACCCUUAUCUAUAGUUACUAUCAGGUCAUGCUGAGGACUCUAUGGAGACUGCCGUCGUAAGAUGCGAGGAAGGUGGGGAUGACGUCAAAUCAGCACGGCCCUUACGUCCGGGGCUACACACGUGUUACAAUGGGGGGUACAGAAGGCAGCUACCUGGCGACAGGAUGCUAAUCCCUAAAACCUCUCUCAGUUCGGAUUGGAGUCUGCAACCCGACUCCAUGAAGCUGGAUUCGCUAGUAAUCGCGCAUCAGCCACGGCGCGGUGAAUACGUUCCC